AAGGAUCAUUAACGAAUAUCUAUGGCGUUGGUUGUAGCUGGCUCCUAGGAGCAUUUGUGCACGCCCGUCAUUUAUAUCAUCUUUCCACCUGUGAACUAUGUGUAGGUCUGGAUACCUCUCGCUUUGGUGACAAGGCGGAUGCAAGGAUUGCUGCCAAGCUCUCUUUGAAUUUCCAGGUCUAUGUUUUUUACACACUCCAUUUGAAUGAUGUAGAAUGUAGUCAAUGGGCUUUCAAGCCUAUAAAAAACUAUACAACUUUCAGCAACGGAUCUCUUGGCUCUC
rnacentral:misc_RNA from 1 species